rnacentral:rRNA from 1 species
AGCUGAGAGGUGGUGCAUGGCCGUCGUCAGUUCGUACUGUGAAGCAUCCUGUUAAGUCAGGCAACGAGCGAGACCCACGUCCACAGUUGCCAGCAUACCCUCCCGGGGUGAUGGGUACACUGUGGAGACCGCCGCUGCUAAAGCGGAGGAAGGAGUGGGCAACGGUAGGUCAGUAUGCCCCGAAUCUCCCGGGCUGCACGCGGGCUACAAUGGUUGGUACAAUGGGCAUCUACCCCGAAAGGGGAAGGAAAUCUCUUAAAGCCAAUCGUAGUUCGGAUUGAGGGCUGCAACUCGCCCUCAUGAAGCUGGAAUCCGUAGUAAUCGCGUUUCAACAGAACGCGGUGAAUACGUCCCUGCUCCUU